UAGGUUGGAGUGGGAGAUCCCGUCGGAAUGGACAUCCCCCACCUCAUGACCUCCGGUAUGCAGGGAAUCAGGACCUCUGGUGACCUCGUUGCCCGUAUG
rnacentral:ncRNA from 1 species